AAACAGCCCCCUAUGUUUUGAUUCUUUGGCAGUUUUUGACCCUCAAGGCAAAAUAAAAUAAAAUAAAUUGACACGUGGCACCCUCACUUAGGGUGUCACGUCAGCGUUGACCGAGUCAACAAUGGAUUGGGGGUCCAAAACUGCCAAAGAAUCAAAACAUAGAGGGAUGUUU
rnacentral:pre_miRNA from 1 species